AAGACCUUGCGCUUUUGGAGCGGCCGAUGCCUGAUUAGCUUGUUGGUAAGGUAAAAGCUUACCAAGGCUUCGAUCAGUAGCUGGUCUGAGGGGACGGCCAGCCACACUGGGACUGAGACACGGCCCAGACUCCUACGGGAGGCAGCAGUGGGGAAUUUUGGACAAUGGGGGCAACCCUGAUCCAGCCAUGCCGCGUGAGUGAAGAAGGCCUUCGGGUUGUAAAGCUCUUUCAGCCGGAACGAAACGGUUACGGUUAAUACCCGUGACUACUGACGGUACCGGAAGAAGAAGCACCGGCUAACUACGUGCCAGCAGCCGCGGUAAUACGUAGGGUGCGAGCGUUAAUCGGAAUUACUGGGCGUAAAGCGUGCGCAGGUGGUUUUGUAAGUCAGAUGUGAAAGCCCCGGGCUCAACCUGGGAACU
rnacentral:rRNA from 1 species